UGGGGAAUUUUGGACAAUGGGCGCAAGCCUGAUCCAGCAAUGCCGCGUGCAGGAUGAAGGCCUUCGGGUUGUAAACUGCUUUUGUACGGAACGAAACGGCUCUGUCUAAUACAUGGGGCUAAUGACGGUACCAUCAGAAGAAGCACCGGCUAACUACGUGCCAGCAGCCGCGGUAAUACGUAGGGUGCGAGCGUUAAUCGGAAUUACUGGGCGUAAAGCGUGCGCAGGCGGUUGUGUAAGACAGAUGUGAAAUCCCCGGGCUCAACCUGGGAACUGCGUUUGUGACUGCAUAACUAGAGUACGGCAGAGGGAGGUGGAAUUCCGCGUGUAGCAGUGAAAUGCGUAGAUAUGCGGAGGAACACCGAUGGCGAAGGCAGUCCCCUGGACCUGUACUGACGCUCAUGCACGAAAGCGUGGGGAGCAAACA
rnacentral:rRNA from 1 species